CGCGGCGCAUGCGCGCGGGCCGUGCUGCGCAGUCGCGCCGGUGCGCCUCCUGCUCCGUACCCUGCCCCCUCCCCCCGCGCCGUUGGGGCCCGGCCGCGCCGCUCUCCCGCCUCGCGCCCCCCGGCAGCCCCGCCAUGGCCGACCCGCGCUUGAGGCAGAUCAAGAUCAAGACCGGCGUCGUGAGGCGACUGGCAAAAGAAAAAGUUAUGUAUGAAAAAGAAGCAAAACAGCAAGAAGAAAAGAUUGAAAAAAUGAAAGCUGAAGCAUGUGAUGAUUAUGGAAUCAAGAAGCAGAGUGGAGCAGCUUGCGGUUCCUGGGAAUUCAGGUGGUCUGUAGUUGUAGCAGUGAUCUACCAGGGUUGUUGGCAGCAAUUAAAUCCAAGCCUCCAGCCUGCACUGUCCGGGAAGACUCAUUUCAUGAAGAGUGGACUUAUCUCAUAGAAACAAAAAUGACAGUUUGGCUCUCAGUGCUACUGUAUGCGUGUGGUAGGCUGUGUUACCAAGGAUGAGAAUUUCUAGCCUUAUUGGAUUGAGAUCUUGCAAGAAUCACGAAUGAUGAUUCCAGAUUGCCAGCGCAGAUUAGAAGUUGCACACGCAGAUCUUACUCAACUAUUAGUAA